rnacentral:rRNA from 1 species
AACGAACGCUGGCGGCAUGCCUAACACAUGCAAGUCGAACGAGACCUUCGGGUCUAGUGGCGCACGGGUGCGUAACGCGUGGGAACCUGCCCUUAGGUUCGGAAUAACUCCCCGAAAGGGGUGCUAAUACCGGAUAAUGUCUUCGGACCAAAGAUUUAUCGCCUUUGGAUGGGCCCGCGUUGGAUUAGCUAGUUGGUAGGGUAAAAGCCUACCAAGGCGACGAUCCAUAGCUGGUCUGAGAGGAUGAUCAGCCACACUGGGACUGAGACACGGCCCAGACUCCUACGGGAGGCAGCAGUGGGGAAUCUUGGACACUGGGCGAAAGCCUGAUCCAUCAAUGCCGCGUGAGUGAUGAAGGCCUUAGGGUUGUAAAGCUCUUUUACCCGGGAUGAUAAUGACAGUACCGGGAGAAUAAGCUCCGGCUAACUCCGUG